rnacentral:rRNA from 1 species
UACGGAGGAUGCAAGCGUUAUCCGGAUUCAUUGGGUUUAAAGGGUGCGUAGGCGGCUUUUUAAGUCAGUGGUGAAAUCCUGUCGCUCAACGAUAGAAUUGCCAUUGAUACUGAAGAGCUUGAGUUCAGUUGAGGUAAGCGGAAUGCGUAGUGUAGCGGUGAAAUGCUUAGAUAUUACACAGAACACCGAUUGCGAAGGCAGCUUACUAAACUGACACUGACGCUGAUGCACGAAAGCGUGGGGAUCGAACAGGAUUAGAACCAC